GCAUAUCAAUAAGCGGAGGAAAAGAAACUAACCAGGAUUCCCCUAGUAACGGCGAGUGAACCGGGAAUAGCCCAACUUGAAAAUCUCCCUCUGGAGAAUUGUAGUCUAUAGAAGCGCCCUCUGUAGCGGGCGGAGCCUAAGUCCGCUGGAAGGCGGCGUCAGAGAGGGUGAGAACCCCGUCGGCUCCUGCUUUGCUGCCCCACGAGGUGCUUUCCACGAGUCGGGUUGUUUGGGAAUGCAGCCCAAAAUGGGAGGUAAAUCCCUUCUAAGGCUAAAUACUGGCGAGAGACCGAUAGCGAACAAGUACCGUGAGGGAAAGAUGAAAAGAACUUUGAAAAGAGAGUUAAAAAGUGCUUGAAAUUGUUGAGGGGGAAGCGUUUGAAAGUCGUGUGUGCGCCUAGGCUGAUGCGUCCUUAACGGGCCGCUGUUUGUGCUAGGUGCUGGUCAGCAUGGGUUCGCCGCGCGGGAUAAAAGCCGGGGUUGAUACUCGGUGUAUGCCGCCUGGCUGACCAAGGCGUGAAUGGCGCUCUGUCCUUCGGGAACUGCGUCAUCAAGAUGCUGGCAGAAGGCUUUCAACCGGCCCGUCUUGAAACACGGACCAAGGAGUCUAACAUGUAUGCGAGUUGGUGGGUGGUAAACCCAUGAAGCGCAAGGAAACUGACUGGUGGGAUGGCCUGUGCCUGCACCAUCGACCGACCAUGAGCUUCUGCGAAAGGUUUGAGUGCGAGCAUACCUGUUGGGACCCGAAAGAUGGUGAACUAUGCCUGAGCAGGGCGAAGCCAGAGGAAACUCUGGUGGAGGCUCGUAGAUGUGCUGACGUGCAAAUCGCUUUUCGGACUUGGGUAUAGGGGCGAAAGACUAAUCGAACCAUCUAGUAGCUGGUUCCCUCCGAAGUUUCCCCCAGGAUAGCUGGAGCUUGAUUCAGUUUUAUCGGGUAGAGCGAAUGAUUAGAGGUUCGGGGGAUGAAACAUCCUUCACCUAUUCUCAAACUCCAAAUAGGUAAGACGCGUAGGUUGCUUAAUUGAACCUGCGCAAUCAAUGUGAGCUCCAAGUGGGCCAUUUUUGGUAAGCAGAACUGGCGAUGCGGGAUGAACCGAUAGUCGAGUUAAGGUGCCUAACUACGCGCUAACCUAGAUCCCACAAAGGGUGUUGAUUGAUAUAGACAGCAGGACGGUGGUCAUGGAAGUCGAAAUCCGCUAAGGAGUGUGUAACAACUCACCUGCCGAAUCAAUUAGCCCCGAAAAUGGAUGGCGCUGAAGCGCGUGACCUAUACUCGGCCAUAGAGGCAAGUGCGAGGCCUCUAUGAGUAGGAGGGCGUGGGUGUCGAUGCGCAGCCUUGGGCGUGAGCCUGGGUGAAUCGGCAUCUAGUGCAGAUCUUGGUGGUAGUNGCNAAUAUUCAAAUGAGAACUUUGAAGACUGAAGUGGAGAAAGGUUCNNUGUGAACAGCAAUUGGACAUGGGUUAGUCGAUCCUAAGAGAUGGGGUAAUCCUGUGUAAAGAUCGCUAUUAGCGCUGCCCAUCGAAAGGGAAAAGGGUUAAGAUUCCCUUACCUGGACAGGGCGGCUGACGGUAACGUAAGCUAGCCCGGAGACAUCGGCGUUGGCCCUGGGAAGAGUUCUCUUUUCUUUUUAACAGCUCUAAGGCCCUGGAAUCGAAUCAUUCGGAGAUAGGGCUCAUAAGCUGGUAAAGCACCGCACUUCUCGCGGUGUCCGGAUCGCCAACGACGGUCCUUGAAAAUCCGGGGGAGCGGCUACCGAUCCUGCCAGGUCGUACUCAUAACCGCAUCAGGUCUCCUAGGUGUGUAGCCUCUAGUCGAUAGAACAAUGUAGAUAAGGGAAGUCGGCAAAAUGGAUCCGUAACUUCGGGAAAAGGAUUGGCUCUGAGGGUUGGGCCUAGGGGUCUGCGUCUUGAAGCCUUGGGCUGUCGGCUGUCUGCCGAGCUGAGCAAUCGGCGAGGUGGACGGCUGCGUGCUCUCGGUGGACGGGCGUAGAAGCUUCGGCGUUCCCUAGGCGACGAACAACCAACUCAGA
rnacentral:rRNA from 1 species